GCGUGCCUAAUACAUGCAAGUCGAACGAAUCUCUUUUAGAGAUGAGUGGCGAACGGGUGAGUAAUACAUAGGUAACCUGCCCCUGUGCGGGGGAUAACAGGAGGAAACUCCUGCUAAUACCGCAUAGCCAUGAGCACCGCAUGGAGCUCAUGCCAAAUAUCCUUUAUGGGAUAGCGCAGGGAUGGACCUAUGGCGCAUUAGCUUGUUGGCGGGGCAACGGCCCACCAAGGCAACGAUGCGUAGCCGGCCUGAGAGGGCGGACGGCCACAUUGGGACUGAGACACGGCCCAGACUCCUACGGGAGGCAGCAGUAGGGAAUUUUCGGCAAUGGGGGAAACCCUGACCGAGCAACGCCGCGUGAGCGAAGAAGGCCUUCGGGUCGUAAAGCUCUGUUGUAAAGGAAGAACGGCGCAUACAGGAAAUGGUAUGCGAGUGACGGUACUUUACCAGAAAGCCACGGCUAACUACGUGCCAGCAGCCGCGGUAAUACGUAGGUGGCGAGCGUUAUCCGGAAUCAUUGGGCGUAAAGAGGGAGCAGGCGGCCGCAAGGGUCUGUGGUGAAAGACCGAAGCUAAACUUCGGUAAGCCAUGGAAACCGGGCGGCUAGAGUGCGGAAGAGGAUCGUGGAAUUCCAUGUGUAGCGGUGAAAUGCGUAGAUAUAUGGAGGAACACCAGUGGCGAAGGCGACGGUCUGGGCCGCAACUGACGCUCAUUCCCGAAAGCGUGGGGAGCAAAUAGGAUUAGAUACCCUAGUAGUCCACGCCGUAAACGAUGGUCACUAAGUGUCGGGGGUCAAACCCCGGUGCUGCAGUCAA
rnacentral:rRNA from 1 species